GUACCUGCAAAGGCAUGAAUUCUUGCAGGAAUUAUAGCUCAUGAGAGCAAUACUUUUUUUUAUAUAAAUCUAUUUAAAGGAUGAGACAUAGAAGGAUCUUUGAAAAUUAUGGUCUGGAAUGGAUAUUUUGCAGACCAAAGUUUGAGAGGUCUGUCAUUGGGAAUGCAUAAUUGUAUCCGAAAGCUUCCCGUGAUGAACUUUAGGUCAAACUCAUAAAGAGAGAACAUUUAAAUUCGUAAAGAAGGGGUAGUGUUCAAGCUAUUUCCCAAGUUAUUAUUUCAAAUCUUUGCCCUUCCAAGUUUUAAAGGUUUAAAUUGUUUGUUAGGGUUUCUCAAUUUGGGUGUUUGAUUUACGAAUUUUAAUUCUUCUCUCUUUCUAAGUUUGAAAACUACCUUCAUUAUCUGGUUGGAGUUGUUGAUACAACCAGAACCAGAUUUUAAAUUCAGUUGGGAUUGUUGGGAGAUAAGAAUGGGAGAUUUUUUUGGCUGGCUCUUUGUCAGUUGGGAUUUGUUUUUGUUUUCUUUUCUUAAUGCUUCUUAAUUCCUGUUUUGCUUUAGCAAAGUGUUCAGCUCGCAUGAAUUUGAUCUUUCGGUUAAUAGAGCUUAGAAAUUAGCUUACGGCACCAUAUGAAAAUGGGUUUAAUUUUCUUUAGGUUUAUAGUGAAGAAGUCGAUCGUUUAAAAGGGUUUUUCUUCAAGAACAAACAUAUAGUGUAAUUUAAGAUAAACAAAAAGAAACUAAACUAUUUUUAUAUCACCAAAAAUUUCAGUGUCUCUGAUACCUAAUCAGACCAAAGUGAGUCAAAUUAAAGUUAGUAACCAACUGAACUUACUACAAGUGAAAUGUGUCUGAACAAUGAGUUGAGGCAAACACCAGAGGAGCCACAAUAAGUUAUUAAUUGUUCUUCAAAACAAGAAAACAAACUAAAGAAACACAUAAUUUCAAAAGUUCAGAGUGAAUUGUGUCCUGUUCGCGUUUUUUUUAAAAAAAGAAAAACUCCACAAUCAGUUUUGCCCUUGCAUGGCCCUCUGAAAUUUGGAACUGUUCAGUUAAACCCAGAUGUGCCAUAAGAAGCCAGACAUGGGUGAGCAGCUCUCCUCCUCGCCUGAGCUGCUGAGCCUGACCACUCCGUCGACAUUGAUUGGCGGCAUAAGGGAGCAUCUCCACCCACACAUGACUUACAAACUGCCACUUUCUCCCAUUAGUCCCCCCUCUAUCUGACUCCAGGGACUGCAAGGCUUUAGCAAGCCUGCAUGCAUCAAAUAGAACUGACUUGCUUCUAUCUCCUUUCACUUUAGAUGGAAGGAUGUCUGUGCACACAUCCAGUAGCUUUGUGCAUGCUUUCCUUUCACCCAAUUUCAUUAUUUUCUUUUCCUUGAAAAAUUCUUCAGCCUCAGCACAUGUGUCUCUAAACCUUAUCUGUCCAAUCCCAUUCAGUAGCAUGAAGGGGCACAUGACUAAUAGUUCAAUAACAGCUUACUGUCUUCACAAUUUUCACUAGGAACCGAGUUCGAGUUUCGAUUCACAUCAGAAUAAUAACAUAGAUCGGUUUGUGCAUUUGGUAUUUGUUUUUGUGUGAUAUUUUUCUCUUAGGGCGUGUCAAAUGGUAAAGCUGUUGAUUUGUUGGAAUUUAGGGUUUAUGAUUUGUUGAUUAAAUUUUGUGAUGGACCUCUUUUCCUCUCUCUGUUUGUGCAUUUGUCUUAAUUAAAUUUGUUUCUUAAAAAAAAAAUAAAAUGGUCUGUUUGAUUAAUUGAUAUGACAGUUUGCUUUGAUUAAUUCAUGUGUAUGACAGAAAAGGUUGGGAGCUGCUUUUGGAGCCUCAUUUAUUUGGCCUGCGAGCUUGAUUUACUUCUCCAGGUCAAGAUCUCCAUCAAAGAGAAGAAAAGUCAUGAAGAAAUUGCAAAACAAAACCUGCCCAAUUAAACAGCAUGCUACUCAAAACUAUCCAAAUUUUGCUAUUUUGAUAACUGCUUCCCACUAUUAACAUCUCAAUGUAUACACAAACAUGCCUACUAUUUUAACAUAACAAGCAGCCUGUAAAAUAUGUUAUUACUUUCUUUUUUAGCAACUUAUACUGCCUUAGUUAAGCAUAAUGCUACAAAUUAAAUCUCAUUGUAUAUAUAAACAAUCUUAUUUUGUGUAUGUAAUUUCAAAACCCGCAGCAUCGUGCGGGCUUUUUUUCUA